rnacentral:lncRNA from 1 species
UCUCUCUUUCUUUGUGUGUGUGUGUGUGUGUGUGUGUUUCUCCUGUUAAAUGACGACUUCCAUUUGUUUACACACCAACAAUGUCACGACGUUUUGGGAACCGACGACGAAAUUUUAUGUUUGGGUUUCCUCAGUCAUUCUCAUAUGGUUUAUUUUGACCCUCUUUAUCACCAAACAAAAAAUUAAAAAUGUUAGUUCAACUUAACAAUUUUUAUACACGUUUCCGUAAAAUUAUUUUUGAGCUUCACACAUUUUGGCAGGGUUUCGAUCACGUGACUUCAUUUUUGUUAUUGUGCGCAAGUGCAAGAAUGAGAAGGGAGUUCUCUCAUUAUGGAGCAGUAGCCUGGCGGGCAUGCUGACCCGAUCAUACUCCGUCGAUAAACGUUUAGCAAUCAGUGAGCCAGGACCCCAUGCAGGCUAUGGAGUAGCUGCUUAUGCUGAAGAAUUCGGGAAGAAUGGUUUUUGACAAGAGCAAGGUCGAGCACAGGUACCUUUCACAAUAUUUAGAUUGUCGUAUUGACGUAUCUGGAGUUAAUUUUUUUUUUGCACAAUCAUAUAAUAUUCUCAGCAGAAGGACCUAUUAUUGUAGUGAUAUUUCCCUUCACAAAACAUGUCAGGUGUCAUUAGUAUUGUAGUUCAAUUCAGUGGCGGCUCCAGAACCGGA